GGAGACUGGAAUGUGAUCAGUCCUACUGGUUCUGGAUAGUCCUGGGCUUUGAUGUCACUACUGGAAGUAAAUCUCAAGUAUGCAAGCAACUAGAGGAAGCAGAUGAUCUCUUCUGCAGUAGCUUUCUCAAUGUCUUCAGCCCCAUUGGGCUACAAGCCCAUGCUGAUCCAUGGUAGCACUGGAACUGCCUCCUCCACUUGGUGCUGAAAUCAGUUGAGCUACUUGAAGCCACAAAGGUGGCAGAAGAAGGAAAACACUUGAUUUUGCAUAGGAAACUUUCUGAUUUCUGGGACUUCUCCCUGCUAGGGAAGGAUUACUGCAGCCCACCACUUCCGAAACAUCUCAGAGAUAGAGCAAUCUGUCCCAGAGGCCAUCUGUGCUGACACCACUGGCACUGGGGCACUUGACCUAUUGUGAGACCACGUCAAGCUACCCACGCUUCACAUGAGUGUGUGUGGGCUUCUGAGCCACGGUUGCUCCAUUGCUGCAGACGGAGGAGCAGUCAGCACCAUCAGCCCCAGCAGAUGAGGAGCGUUUCCUGAAGAAUCAGUACAGAGCUGCUCAUCUCCAGAUCAGCUGUGAAACCAACACACCACGAUUCACAUAUGUUCACUAAAGAUGCUGCAUUUCCCAAGAGCAGAGGCAGCUCACAACUAGAUAAUUCUUUUCCUAGUCUCAAGCAUCCUGUUCGAAGCUAGUCCAGCAACCACGACAUUUCCUCUUCCCAAUCUGUGUCACAAUCCUGCUGCAAGCUGUUACCACCUGCUGUCUUCUCCCAAGAGAGCUUGCUUCCAGCUAAUCAAAAAUGAGGUGUGUAGUGGCCUUAAGAACGGUGGUUUGGUGUUUAAUUUCCAAAAGUCUUUGCAGUGGUUGGAAGUAGUAACUGUCUAGGAAAAAAAAAACAAAACAAAACACACAAAGAUUUUCCUAGAAAAUGAUCCUCACAAUAGGAAGACCAUGCAGGCAGACUUCUGAACAUCACCGGUGACUUAGGAAGUUAAGUCCAAUUAUGGAAUUCUCUAAGAUGCUGAGCCAAAUUCUUGUUGACCUUCAGAAGGAUGGAGCUCCAUGUUGUAGGUACUUCAAGAUAUCCAGGUAUCUCAAACUCUUACGAGAAUCUGGAGCGUAGACCCUCAACAGCUCUAGAAAAUGAGAUUUUGGUGCCUUUAUCACUCACCUUUGAAAGUAUUAGUUUUCUAUUUUUAAGAAACCUUAAGGAAUUGUGCAUUAUUAGGAAUUACAACUUCUAGCAAACACUCCAUGUUCCCAGCUUGCUAUCCAGCACUGCUGUCUUAGGAGCUGAUGUCAUCACGUCCAUCACCUCUGGUCUAUCUCCAGUUCAACGGGCGCAGAAGGGUUAAAAGGGUUUAAGGAUUUAACUGUGACAAAUUAUGGAGAUUUAGCGGCGGCAGAAAAUAGUUUUAGUAAUUAUGCUGUCAAACAGCUUUUAUUAUUCAUAUGAGGGGAAAUGAGAACAAUGCUAAACGCAUUUGUGUGCUCCGAAUGAGGGCACUGAUUCUUGGCCUUGGCAGCGCUCGUGUCCCUCCUGCAGCCUCUGUCUACCAACAUGGAAAAGCAACUAAUGAAGCAGCAAGGGGUUCAAGGCAGCAUGCAGGGCUCUGGUGCUGAAUCAAAGCCCUCCUGCUCAUUUCCCUUUCCCCUCAUCACGGGUGGAAUUUGGAACCGUUGGUGAUUAACCCUGGACAAAGCUGAAAACAGGAGCAAGAAAAACAAGGGCAGCCCAGGAGAAGAGCUGGCGCUCAUCCUCCUCCUGUGUUUACUUGGUGGUGUUGGAUUUCCUGCUCUCUCUGAAGUGCAUCUGUAGGUCAGGAUGCUGGGGGACCAGCGGGAGCUGGAGUUUGCUGAAGAAAGGACCAGUACCUGCCUUGAAUCACAGCAAUUAGGGCUGGCAUCUGUUCUUGGUGAGCUCAGCAUUUGACCACAAGCGUUGUUUUCUUAGGCAGAUGAAUUCCUAAUUUUUCUAGAAAUACAACAAGGAUUUACUCUUAAUUCAAAAGAGGUGAGGAAGAGGAGGUUCUCACGUGUGCAUACACAAAGAGGCGGGCACACGACACAGGAUAGAAUCAGUAAGGUUGGAAAAGACCACUGACAUCAUCAAGCCCAAACCCAUCCCAUCCCCACCAUGCCCACCAAACCAUGACCCUCAGUGCCACAUCUCCAUGCUUACUGAACACUGUCGGGGACGGAGACUCCAUCACUCCCUUGGGAAAAAAAAAAAAAAAAAAAAAAAAGAUUAUAUU